AUUGAACGCUGGCGGCAUGCUUUACACAUGCAAGUCGAACGGUAACAGGCCUUCGGGUGCUGACGAGUGGCGAACGGGUGAGUAAUGCAUCGGAACGUGCCCAGAGGUGGGGGAUAACGCAGCGAAAGCUGUGCUAAUACCGCAUGUGAUCUGAGGAUGAAAGCGGGGGACCAGGCAGCAAUGUUUGGCCUCGCGCCUUUGGAGCGGCCGAUGUCAGAUUAGGUAGUUGGUGGGGUAAAGGCCUACCAAGCCGACGAUCUGUAGCUGGUCUGAGAGGACGACCAGACACACUGGGACUGAGACACGGCCCAGACUCCUACGGGGGGCAGCAGUGGGGAAUUUUGGACAAUGGGGGCAAGCCUGAUCCAGCAAUGCCGCGUGCGGGAAGAAGGCCUUCGGGUUGUAAACCGCUUUUGUACGGAACGAAAAGGCUCUGGCUAAUACCUGGGGCUGAUGACGGUACCGGAAGAAUAAGCACCGGCUAACUACGUG
rnacentral:rRNA from 1 species